rnacentral:lncRNA from 1 species
UCCGGGGUUGGGUUCUUCUUUUCAUUCCAUCUGGGGGGCACAUUGACAAUGCAUGUUAUCUCCUUGGGCCGUAGUCUCCCAUCCGAAACACGGGGAAAGCCUUUCAAUCUUUCUGAAUGGCAAAACCUCUGCCCAUUUUUUAAAAAUGUAAUCGUGCACAGGUGCCACUCUGGAAGAUCCUCACUGAGAAGGUGGCUCUGCGCUGGACAAAGCAGAGCUGGUGGUGGGGGUGGGGGGAGGGGGGCGGUGGGCAGGAUUCAGUGUUGGUAACAGAUGCCCUAUCAUCACAAUCCAGUGACCUCCGGACCUGAAAAGUGUUGCACCAUAUUACAUUUGCUGGUCAUCUGACAUCUGUGGGCCCAGGAUGGAAAAGGAAAUGGGAUGGAGAUGUGUGCCACCAGAGAGAAGGACCUUCACCCUUUGGCUUCAUGUCCAAUGUUGGAAGACUGCGUCCUAUACAGGACAGAAGACUGACUCCAGAAGAACAGUUUGCUGGUAUUGAUUCUCACACUAAUUUGCAGUGUGUCCUGGGGUCUGACACUAGUGCUCUUUGAGGCUCUCUUCAUCCCAAAAAGGAGAUUGGGAUAGAAAAAUCUCCACUCCUACUCUCUCACUUGAUUAGGUGUCUCUGCUACUCAAACCAUAGUGUUUGGUAUAGUCAACAGGAUUGAGUCCCUUAUCACUUCCCUAAAUUUGCUCCUGGAUGAACAGGACUUUGCUGAAUAUAAUAAUAUUAUUGUAGCGCCCUCUAUGCCUUGAGCACUUGCUAGUUACCUGGCUUUACAUUUAGGGUUUUCCAUUGCUUUAACAGCUAUGGACUUACUAUGAUGGUUCUUACUUUUUUUUGUGUGUGUGUGCCAUGGAUUCCUUUGGAAGUCUGGGAAACCUGUGGAUCCUUUCUCAGAAUAAUGAUUUUAAAUGCAUAAAAUAAAACACAUAGAAUUACAAAAGCUACCCAUGAUCUUGAAAUGCAGUUGUGAAAAUAUUUUAAAGACCUACAUUUGUGAUAUAGUAAUAUAUGUGAUUUUUAACUAUUGCAUUAAAUAACAAGAUUGAGUGACAGAUAGUCAAUGUAGUGAUGAGUACAAACAAUUCUUUGAGCUACCUGUUACAAGUACACAUUGAUGUGACAAUACCCAUGAUUCUAUUGGUUACAUAGUCCUAGGUCAGUGCUAAUAUCAUGAUGGAUUUCUGCCUAUGACAUACAACAUGUCAGUUAGAGGCUAGUGAAAAUAAAGAUGUUAUUAUUUUACCAUCCAAGUUCCCAAACCCACUGAAUUCUAUCCACGGAUCCCCUUGAGGGUCUGUGGGUCUAGGUAAACCAUCCAUGGACUAGAAAGACUCAGAGCUACUUUCUUUUUUCUCUCCAUGCUCUGAUUUUCUCAUCCUUAAAGUAGGGAUAAU